GUUACGCGAGACCUUACCUGGACUAGAAUGUGAGGGAAGGUCGUGUAACGGCGACCGUCCGGGCAACCGGACCCAAAACAAGGUGCUGCAUGGCUGUCAUCAGCUCGUGUCGUGAGAUGUUGGGUUAAGUCCCGCAACGAGCGCAACCCCUAUUAACAGUUGCCAUCAUUAAGUUGGGAACUCUGUUAAGACUGCCGUUGAUAAGGCGGAGGAAGGUGGGGAUGAUGUCAAGUCAUCAUGGCCUUUAUGUUCAGGGCCACACACGUGCUACAAUGGUUGGUACAAAAUGUCGCAAUCUCGUAAGAAGGAGCUAAUCAUUUAAAACCAAUCUCAGUUCGGAUUGAAGUCUGCAACUCGACUUCAUGAAGUUGGAAUCGCUAGUAAUCGCAAAUCAGCAUGUUGCGGUGAAUACGUUCCCGGGUCUUGUACACACCG
rnacentral:rRNA from 1 species